GCCAGGUGCAGUGACAGGCACCUGUUCACCCAGCUGCUCAGGGGGCUGAGGCAGGAGGGUCAUUUGAGUCUAGCAGUUCCGGGCUGUAGUGAGCUUUGCCAACCGGAUGUCAGUACUAAGUUCAGCAGCAGUACAGUGACCUCCUGGGAGCACCAGGAGACCUAGAAGGACACCAGAUGGCCUAAGAAGAGGUAAACUUGCCCAAGUCAGAAACAGAGCAGGUCAGAACUCCAGUGCUGCUCAGUAGCAGGAUCGCACCUGUGAAUACUUACCACACUGGAGCCUGGGCAGGACAACUUGACAUCUACU
rnacentral:SRP_RNA from 1 species